UAGAGUUUGAUCCUGGCUCAGAUUGAACGCUGGCGGCAGGCCUAACACAUGCAAGUCGAGCGGAUGAUGGGAGCUUGCUCCCGGAUUCAGCGGCGGACGGGUGAGUAAUGCCUAGGAAUCUGCCUGGUAGUGGGGGACAACGUUUCGAAAGGAACGCUAAUACCGCAUACGUCCUACGGGAGAAAGCAGGGGACCUUCGGGCCUUGCGCUAUCAGAUGAGCCUAGGUCGGAUUAGCUAGUUGGUGGGGUAAAGGCCUACCAAGGCGACGAUCCGUAACUGGUCUGAGAGGAUGAUCAGUCACACUGGAACUGAGACACGGUCCAGACUCCUACGGGAGGCAGCAGUGGGGAAUAUUGGACAAUGGGCGAAAGCCUGAUCCAGCCAUGCCGCGUGUGUGAAGAAGGUCUUCGGGUUGUAAAGCACUUUAAGUUGGGAGGAAGGGCAGUAAGUUAAUACCUUGCUGUUUUGACGUUACCAACAGAAUAAGCACCGGCUAACUUCGUGCCAGCAGCCGCGGUAAUACGAAGGGUGCAAGCGUUAAUCGGAAUUACUGGGCGUAAAGCGCGCGUAGGUGGUUUGGUAAGAUGGAUGUGAAAUCCCCGGGCUCAACCUGGGAACUGCAUCCAUAACUGCCUGACUAGAGUACGGUAGAGGGUGGUGGAAUUUCCUGUGUAGCGGUGAAAUGCGUAGAUAUAGGAAGGAACACCAGUGGCGAAGGCGACCACCUGGACUGAUACUGACACUGAGGUGCGAAAGCGUGNGGAGCAAACAGGAUUAGAUACCCUGGUAGUCCACGCCGU
rnacentral:rRNA from 1 species